GGCGGACGGGUGAGUAACGCGUAAAGAACUUGCCCUUUAGACUGGGAUAACAGAGGGAAACUUCUGAUAAUAACUGGAUAAGUUAGUAUAUCGCAUGAUAUACAAAUGAAAGCUACGGCACUAAAGGAGAGCUUUGCGUCCUAUUAGCUAGUUGGUAAGGUAAGAGCUUACCAAGGCGAUGAUAGGUAGCCGGCCUGAGAGGGUGGACGGCCACAAGGGGACUGAGAUACGGCCCUUACUCCUACGGGAGGCAGCAGGC
rnacentral:rRNA from 1 species